rnacentral:rRNA from 1 species
AUCAAAGGUGAGCCAGUACAGGAUGGACCCGCGUCUGAUUAGCUAGUUGGUAAGGUAACGGCUUACCAAGGCGACGAUCAGUAGCCGACCUGAGAGGGUGAUCGGCCACAUUGGAACUGAGACACGGUCCAAACUCCUACGGGAGGCAGCAGUGGGGAAUAUUGCACAAUGGGCGAAAGCCUGAUGCAGCAACGCCGCGUGAGUGAUGAAGGCCUUCGGGUCGUAAAACUCUGUCCUCAAGGAAGAUAAUGACGGUACUUGAGGAGGAAGCCCCGGCUAACUACGUGCCAGCAGCCGCGGUAAUACGUAGGGGGCUAGCGUUAUCCGGAUUUACUGGGCGUAAAGGGUGCGUAGGCGGUCUUUCAAGUCAGGAGUGAAAGGCUACGGCUCAACCGUAGUAAGCUCUUGAAACUGGGAGACUUGAGUGCAGGAGAGGAGAGUGGAAUUCCUAGUGUAGCGGUGAAAUGCGUAGAUAUUAGGAGGAACACCAGUUGCGAAGGCGGCUCUCUGGACUGUAACUGACGCUGAGGCACGAAAGCGUGGGGAGCAAACAGGAUUAGAUACCCUGGUAGUCCACGCUGUGAACGAUGAGUACUGGGGGUCGGGGGUUACCCCCGUCGGUGCCGCAGCUAACGCAUUAAGUACUCCGCCUGGGAAGUACGCUCGCAAGAGUGAAACGCAAAGGAAUUGACGGGGACCCGCACAAGUAGCGGAGCAUGUGGUUUAAUUCGAAGCAACGCGAAGAACCUUACCUAAGCUUGACAUCCCAAUGACAUCUCCUUAAUCGGAGAGUUCCCUUCGGGGACAUUGGUGACAGGUGGUGCAUGGUUGUCGUCAGCUCGUGUCGUGAGAUGUUGGGUUAAGUCCCGCAACGAGCGCAACCCUUGUCUUUAGUUGCCAUCAUUAAGUUGGGCACUCUAGAGAGACUGCCAGGGAUAACCUGGAGGAAGGUGGGGAUGACGUCAAAUCAUCAUGCCCCUUAUGCUUAGGGCUACACACGUGCUACAAUGGGUAGUACAGAGGGUUGC